rnacentral:rRNA from 1 species
ACGGGUGAGUAAUGUCUGGGGAUCUGCCCGAUAGAGGGGGAUAACCACUGGAAACGGUGGCUAAUACCGCAUAACGUCGCAAGACCAAAGAGGGGGACCUUCGGGCCUCUCACUAUCGGAUGAACCCAGAUGGGAUUAGCUAGUAGGCGGGGUAACGGCCCACCUAGGCGACGAUCCCUAGCUGGUCUGAGAGGAUGACCAGCCACACUGGAACUGAGACACGGUCCAGACUCCUACGGGAGGCAGCAGUGGGGAAUAUUGCACAAUGGGCGCAAGCCUGAUGCAGCCAUGCCGCGUGUAUGAAGAAGGCCUUCGGGUUGUAAAGUACUUUCAGCGGGGAGGAAGGCAACAAGGUUAAUAACCUUGUUGAUUGACGUUACCCGCAGAAGAAGCACCGGCUAACUCCGUGCCAGCAGCCGCGGUAAUACGGAGGGUGCAAGCGUUAAUCGGAAUUACUGGGCGUAAAGCGCACGCAGGCGGUCUGUUAAGUCAGAUGUGAAAUCCCCGGGCUUAACCUGGGAACUGCAUUUGAAACUGGCAGGCUUGAGUCUCGUAGAGGGGGGUAGAAUUCCAGGUGUA